rnacentral:lncRNA from 1 species
UACCCUUUACCACUCUGAUACUCAAUAUUCUAUUCCAUUUAAGUGACUCAAUACAAAGAAAGUGGGAAUGUUUUCUUAGGUUAACCGAAGAAAACCCUAAAUAACUUAAGUGCUUUUGGAUUAAUUGAGCAUCAUCUUGUAGUAGAUGUCAAUCUCUAUUGUUAGACUUCACCAAAAAGCUCCUAGCACGGUGGAAAAAAGUAUCAAAUAUAGUCAAGUCUUCAAUAAAAU